UGAAGUAUUUCCUUUCCAGUCCAGCAAGCAAGACUAAGAGCGAAGAUUUGAAUUGGAAAUCGAACUAUUUCACUGCAAAGAAAACCAUCGACGUCCAUAAAGAUUCAGAAAUUGGAGACAGUGGAGGAACUACUCGACCUUGACGAGUUGAUAAAAACUCAACCAAGCAAGAAAGAUUUGCUGACAGCCAGGCUCUCAAAGAUUGGUGGAUAUGACUUAAAGAGCUGUUUAAGCACCAUCAUGGACAGGUAUUUUCCUCUUUCUCUUUAUAUAUAUUAAAAAUAGGCGAUGUAAGACCCAAAUUCUAAUCUAUGAGUGCU